AUGAAAUCGAUGAGUAAGAGUAGUACAUUGAUUCGAAUCGUUUCAGAGAGCCGGGAGAGGUGUGAGCCGGCACGAGGAGAGCAAUCGGAAUGGACUUACGAGAGGCUUCUUGAAUGGCAGUAGGGGAGCACGGAAUUCCACCGUUAAUGGGAUAGGGUAUCGAUGGAAAUGUUUUUUUAAAUGCCAUUUUCAAUCCGUACCUGAUUGAGGGAGCAUCUUUUAUGCUCCGAACUUGAGGUGGCACCACGAAUCAGCUUAAAUCGUCCUCUAU
rnacentral:ncRNA from 1 species